GAGCGUAAACCCGCACAACCGAUUUGGAAGUCUGGCAUUGUCUGGUAAAGCUGACCCUGCGUAUUCCCCACGACGCGGCAAUUCCAGCUGUAGCGGAUCGACACUACCAGGACUCAUGCCCACGUGCCCACGAAACAUGGAUCAGACGUUCCUGGAAGUACUUCAAAGAAAGCUUAAACCAGGACCCACCCAAGUGUGCCCUCCGGGGGAGGGGAAGAGAGAGUCUUGGAAAUCUGUCUUGUGCGUCCAGCACAUCUCGAUUUCGACCAGCCACAGUUCAAGUACUCGGCAGCCACCGGCAACACAUGACCACCACCCUCAACAGCGUGGCUCUGGAGAGCGGCCAGGGCCGAGAGGUCUCCCACCUGCCCUCCCGCACACAGAGCCCAGCCUCCUGUUCUGCCCUGUGGCCUCCUUCUCAGAUGGCUCAUUUGCUGCCUUACCUGUGACAGUGGUCUUCUCACUCUGCCCUGUGUGCUGACAAAAGCUGACUUACGUCCUGACAACAAACAAAUAAAAAGAUACAAAAUU